CAUCUUCUUACACCUCAGGGUCUUUCAUAACACAGACAUCUGAGAAAACUGCCAAUGAUUUAGGUACAAUCCAACUAUUUUUAAACUGUUAUCACAUGACCUUAGGAUACAACAUUCAGAUCUCUCUGUCUCUCUCUUCUGUGUAUAUCUCUCUUUGUAUCUCUCUCUCUCUGUCUCUUUCUCUCUCUCUCUGUCUCUCCCUCCAUCUCUCUCUCCCCUGCCGUAACUCUUCUUCUUCUCCCUGGCCUGGCUCCAACCAAGCUGUCAGACAGAGGCCCUGUUCCAGCCCGGGCAUUGACGUCAGGCGCUCGCGGGGCGCUUGUGUGUGGCAUCUGCCAAACGACGAGAGCUUCUCAGCCAGAAUGUCUGUCUGCCAGUAUUAUUACUGCACUGUUGGAGCUAGAAACACAAGCAUUUACCAGCACCUGCGAUAUCAUCUGCAAAUCUGUGGGAGAUGGGAUGGGGUUUGCUGGCGUCUGGACUAGUCCACCAUGGUGGAACUAAAAGACUGAAUCAAGUGGCAUGAUCCAAGUCCCCCUGGGGGGCCAGAGCUACAGAGACUGGAAAUUACUGUCCUUCACAAGACCCCACUGGGAUAAGACACCGUAGACAUUCCAUUCUGAAAGGGAUGUCGAAGUGUGCAAAACAGGGCAAUUGCAAAGAAUGUACAGAAGUGGGAAGGUGGUGCCUGUUCUUUUGUACUCUGCGUGUUCAGAAAAGCUUCAUAGGACACCAAUUUCAUGAAGAAAUAAAAUUAUAGGUAGAUCCCUUGGAAAUAAUGAGGAGGUUGUGAGAAUGGGGGCCAUUAUAGACAUGUGCCGUAGCACUCACAGGGUGGCUUCUAUACAGAACAUGGGUUUUCAGCACCCACAAAGGAUUUGUGUAGCCUAUCUGUCACAUCCUGACCUUAGUUCCUUUUUUAUGUCUCUGUUUUAGUGUGUUCAGGGCGUGAAUUGGGGUGGGCAUUCUAUGCUUUUGUUCUAGGUUUCGUAUUUCUAUGUUAGGCCUGGUAUGGUUCCCAAUCAGAGGCAGCUGUCGAUCGUUGUCUCUGAUUGAGAACCAUACUUAGGUAGCCUGUUUUCCCACUAUGUUUUGUGGGUAGUUGUUUUCUGUGUCUGUGUUUACCAUACAGAACUGUUUCGUGUCGUUCACUCUCGUCGUCGUUGUUGUUUUUGGUCAUUUAGUGUUCUGUUUAUUUUAUUAAACAUCAUGAACACUUACAAAGCUGCACCUUGGUCCUCACCUUCUUCCACCAACGACAGCC
ensembl:lncRNA